AGAGUUUGAUCCUGGCUCAGAACGAACGCUGGCGGCGUGCCUAACACAUGCAAGUCGAACGAGAAAGUCCUUCGGGGCUAGUAAAGUGGCGCAAGGGUGAGUAACACGUGAAUAAUCUGCCCUCGAACCCGGGAUAACUUGGCGAAAGUUAAGCUAAUACCAGAUAAGACCACGUUUCGCAAGAAACGCGGUAAAAGGAGUCUCAAACUUCAUUUGAGGAUGAGUUCGCGGACCAUUAGCUUGUUGGCGGGAUAAAAGCCCACCAAGGCUUCGAUGGUUAGCCGGCCUGAGAGGGUGAUCGGCCACACUGGAACUGAGACACGGUCCAGACUCCUACGGGAGGCAGCAGUGGGGAAUAUUGCGCAAUGGGCGAAAGCCUGACGCAGCAACGCCGCGUGAGGGAUGAAGGCUUUAGGGUUGUAAACCUCUGUCGAAUGGGAAGAAGUAUGACGGUACCAUUAAAGGAAGCCCCGGCUAACUCCGUGCCAGCAGCCGCGGUAAUACGGAGGGGGCAAGCGUUGUUCGGAAUUAUUGGGCGUAAGGCGUAUGUAGGCGGUUAGAUAAGUCAGGUGUGUAAGCCCAGGGCUCAACCCUGGAAUUGCAUUUGAAACUAUUUAACUUGAGUUCAGGAGAGGAAAGCGGAAUUCCCAGUGUAGCGGUGAAAUGCAUUGAUAUUGGGAAGAACAUCGGUGGCGAAGGCGGCUUUCUGGUCUGAUACUGACGCUGAGAUACGAAAGCUAGGGGAGCGAACGGGAUUAGAUACCCCGGUAGUCCUAGCUGUAAACGAUGGGUACUAGGUGUAGGGGGUAUCGAUCCCCUCUGUGUCGCAGCUAACGCAUUAAGUACCCCGCCUGGGGAGUACGGUCGCAAGGCUGAAACUCAAAGGAAUUGACGGGGGCCCGCACAAGCGGUGGAGCAUGUGGUUUAAUUCGACGCAACGCGAAGAACCUUACCUGGAUUUGACAUGCAUGGGAAAGCUCUAGAGAUAGAGCCCUCUUCGGACUCAUGUGCAGGUGCUGCAUGGCUGUCGUCAGCUCGAGUCGUGAGAUGUUGGGUUAAGUCCCGCAACGAGCGCAACCCCUACCUUUAGUUGCCAGCGAGUCAUGUCGGGAACUCUAGAGGGACUGCCGGUGAUAAACCGGAGGAAGGUGGGGAUGACGUCAAGUCCUCAUGGCCUUUAUAUCCAGGGCUACACACGUGCUACAAUGGUCGGUACAAAGAGUUGCAAUACCGCGAGGUGGAGCUAAUCUCAAAAAACCGAUCUCAGUUCGAAUUGGAGUCUGCAACUCGACUCCAUGAAGCUGGAAUCGCUAGUAAUCGUGGAUCAGCAUGCCACGGUGAAUACGUUCCCGGGCCUUGUACACACCGCCCGUCACACCAUGAAAGC
rnacentral:rRNA from 1 species